UAGUAGUAGUAAUUUUAAACAAAACCAAUUUAGUUUGGCGGCAUUUCAUUUAAUUAGAGGAACCUGUUAAUUAAUCGAUAAACCACGAUAAAUUUCACUAAAUUAUAAAAUUUAUAUACCGCCAUCUAAAAGAAUUAAUAAUAAAAUUUAUUCAAAAUAAAAUAUAAAAAGUUAGGUCAAGGUGUAAUCCACAACUUAGCAAAUAAUGGGUUACAUUAAACCUUAUUUAAGGAAUAUUUAUUAAAAUAAAUAUAAAUAAGAAUUUAAAAGUAUAAUAAAAAUAAUAAUUCUAAUAGAAACAAAUAAUAAAUGUGC
rnacentral:rRNA from 1 species